UACGUAGGUGGCAAGCGUUGUCCGGAAUUAUUGGGCGUAAAGCGCGCGCAGGUGGUUUCUUAAGUCUGAUGUGAAAGCCCACGGCUCAACCGUGGAGGGUCAUUGGAAACUGGGGAACUUGAGUGCAGAAGAGGAAAGUGGAAUUCCAAGUGUAGCGGUGAAAUGCGUAGAGAUUUGGAGGAACACCAGUGGCGAAGGCGACUUUCUGGCCUGUAACUGACACUGAGGCGCGAAAGCGUGGGGAGCGAACAGG
rnacentral:rRNA from 1 species